ensembl:lncRNA
CCAUCUCUUUCUGUACUGGAGGGGCACUAGGUGAUAAAUUCAACUCUUAGCGAAGCCCAUUGGCCAAACACCAAGUACAUGUUGUCCCAGAGCUUUUAUAGUGUUUAUUGUUCCGUUUUCAGUGACGUGUACAGUUUCUGAUACCUGCCCUUAAUCACUCGAGAGUUACAUUAUCAUCCGUCACCUCUACACUUCAGGCUGGCUGAUUGCCUGAGCGUCCUUUAAGUCUAUUCACACAAAGCAUCCAAGACCCUAAAUCAUCCGUAGGCCUACGUUUCCCGCUCUUCUGGCACAUGGACAGGACUCCCAAACAGUUAACAUCCAGGACGAUUGACAAUGACGCGACAAGUGACACAAGAGACACACAACUUAAAUAAACUAGGGAGGUGCAGGUGAUUGGACACAGGUGGAAACUAUCAGACGAUCACAGGGGAUGACAGGACAAGGCAGGAAGUGAAGUUACCCGGUUACUCUAGAAGCAACCAACAUCUGCCUCAAGUCUUCGAGAAUAAACAAUCGUCCACGUCCACACUGCAUUAACUUCCCAGGAGACCCCUGCCAACCUGUCAGUGUGUUUACAUGAUGGUAUAAUUCGAAUCUUCGAGUCGGCCUAUGCCAUCUUUCGGGGGAAGGUGCUAUUAUCCCAAUACGUGAAUAAAUCAAAUCAUUGGCCGAAAGCAUGUCAUAUCCAAUACGAUAGGUGGCGCUGUUUUCAUUACAACUAGUUGUGAUACAGCCAUUUCCGCUUGACCUCUGCACCACUACCAACAACAACAACAUCAACAUUACACGAAAGAUGGCGAACGGAGAGCAAGGUGAAGCUACAUCCCUCUACUAUUUUUGCAUGAUGUUAAUAGGAGUACAGCGAAUGCGAAUGGCGCUAUUGGCUGAUUUGAUAACGGAGAGAAGACGCCGUCGCCGAAGGUACAUGGAGAAUUUAAUUCUGACCAACAAUAUAUUGUUGAACUCUUCCAUUGUACCGCAAAGGUCUCGAAGAGCACUCUGGAUGAAGAGCAGAAACAAAGGCUUCUGGGAGAGAGAUGUUUCGACCGUAUUUGAUGACAAAGACUGGAAAGCGAAGUUUCGCAUGACUUGAGGAUCUUUCCACAAGUUGUGUGGAAUUAUGGAAGGAGUCAUGAAGCACGCGGAGGUGACUGUUCGAGCACCAAUACCGCUGUCCUCCAAGGCGUAGUGGACGACAUGUGUCGGUAAGUUUGGGCAAAAUACAUUACGUUUGUCUGCACUGUGCAACGUGUAAGCUUACUAACUGAUAUGUUCAAUUCACCGCAACCUCAGGCCUGCGUGUGCGUGUUUGUGUGUGUGUCCUGUGUCGCAUACAUAUAUUCACGUGUGUGUUACAGUGUGUCGUGUGUGCCAUUAAAACCUGACAAAUUGUUCUCUUUAAGCUUCUGGAGCAUCAACUGUAAGAUGCCUGGGUGUGCUCAUGACGCUAACGUGCUGAGGCAAUCGACGUUCAGCCAGGCACACCUGUUACCAAAAGAACCAAGAUAAAUCGAUGACGUCUCAAUCGGUAACUUCCUGUUGGGAGAUCCAGCGUAUCCUCUCAUGGACUGGAUCGUGAAAGGCUACCCCCAUUCCCCAGAGCAAGAGUCCUUCAAGGUCUACUUAAGCUCUACAAGGACCACGGUGGAGAUUGCGUUUGGGAGACUGAAGUCACGCUGGAGAGUUUUGAUGAAGCGUAGUGACUUCUACUUUACAUUCACCCCUAAAGUGAUUGCUACCAGUUGUGCAUUGCACAAUUUCUGUGAGAAUGAGAAGGAAGUUGUGAAUCCCAACUGGUCAGUGGAAGCGGCUACACAGCCAGGUGGUCGUGCCAACAAUCACGCAGACGUGAGUGCAAACUUCCCCCCGCGCAGACCAUACCUUUAGACGUCUUCAUUACAUAAUUGCCAG